rnacentral:rRNA from 1 species
UACGGGGGGAGCAAGCGUUGUUCGGAUUUACUGGGCGUAAAGCGCACGUAGGCGGAUCUUUAAGUCAGGGGUGAAAUCCCGAGGCUCAACCUCGGAACUGCCUUUGAUACUGGGGAUCUCGAGUCCGGGAGAGGUGAGUGGAACUGCGAGUGUAGAGGUGAAAUUCGUAGAUAUUCGCAAGAACACCAGUGGCGAAGGCGGCUCACUGGCCCGGAACUGACGCUGAGGUGCGAAAGCGUGGGGAGCAAACAGG